rnacentral:rRNA from 1 species
AUUGAACGCUGGCGGCAGGCCUAACACAUGCAAGUCGAGCGAGCGGCGGACGGGUGAGUAAUGUCUGGGAAACUGCCUGAUGGAGGGGGAUAACUACUGGAAACGGUAGCUAAUACCGCAUACCAUCAGAUGUGCCCAGAUGGGAUGAGCUAGUAGGUGGGGUAAUGGCUCACCUAGGCGACGAUCCCUCGCUGGUCUGAGAGGAUGACCAGCCACACUGGAACUGAGACACGGUCCAGACUCCUACGGGAGGCAUCAGUGGGGAAUAUUGCACAAUGGGCGAAAGCCUGAUGCAGCAAUGCCGCUUGUAUGAAGAAGGCCUUCGGGUUGUAAAGUACUUUCAGCGAGGAGGCGUUACUCGCAGAAGAAGCACCGACUAACUCCGUGCCAGCCGCCGCGGUAAUAC